AAAUGAUAAAGGUAAGAUUAGAGCAGUACUCACUGGAUUCCAAAAUGUUAAUGAUACAGGGACCUUUCCCUUUUAACAUGUUCAUCAUUUAAAUUAAUCUUAAACAAAGCCUGCAAAAUAGUUUUAGCUCCUGUGUAUAAAAUGGGCAAAAAUAUGUAGUGUAUUUGUAUAGUAUAGUGUGUGUGUACACUAUUUAUGCAUGCUUUUUCUGGAUAAGCAGAAUAUAACUGUCAAUAGUGGAGUAGAAACCUUAGUACAUUUGACAGCUGUUCCCUCCCACAUCUUCACGAUCACACUUAAAAAUAGGGCUGGGAAUAGCUCUGACAGUACCUUACAAUUACAUUAUCUUGCAAUUUCAAGACAGAGCUGGCUGUUAAUAACUGGAGUUAGUUCUGGCUUCAUCCAUCUUCUUGACUUCCUGCUCAUUCCUGUUAUGUAACAGGAAAUGGAAAAAAAAAAGUGGAUGCAGUCUAAAGGCAAGGUCAUUUCUCUAUGCUGACUUUAGCAGCUAUUGUAACAGUUCAGAGGAGUUGUUAGAAACAUGUUUGAACAAUGUUUGUUUAGAUGCUUGCCUUGGAAGGAAUUUAUGAGUCAGUCGUAUGUUAGUUUCCAUAGGAUCUUCCUGAGCAGAUCUACCCACUGACUUCUGCAAAGGAAUACAGAAAUUUGAAAAGAGAAUAGAUGUACCUGACCUUUUUAAAACUCUUCUCCUUGGUCAGCCUUCCUAUGAUAAGUUUUGUGAUCCAGCUGUCACACAAAAACACCUUUCUAGAGCAUUAUUCCAAUAGUAAGCCAGUGGGAUUUUGUUUUUCUGUUAGGAAGUAUUUCAGUGGGACAUACUGCUGUGCAGCUGUUUGUGUGGUUUGCGAGAGGAUACUACUUAAUGUAAUCAUUCAUUUACAAGAAUUCAAAAACCAGAUGAAGUGUGAUAUAAUACUGCUCCUUCUCCUUGUUAUAAAACAGGGAAUGGAAGAGGUUAAGAAACAAUUUUAUACUCAGAAGAGG